rnacentral:rRNA from 1 species
AUGAACGCUGGCGGCGUGCCUAAUACACGCAAGUCGAGCGAACGGACGAGAAGCUUGCUUUUCUGAUGUUAGCGGCGGACGGGUGAGUAACACGUGGAUAACCUACCUAUAAGACUGGGAUAACUUCGGGAAACCGGAGCUAAUACCGGAUAAUAUUUUGAACCGCAUGGUUCAAAAGUGAAAGACGGUCUUGCUGUCACUUAUAGAUGGAUCCGCGCUGCAUUAGCUAGUUGGUAAGGUAACGGCUUACCAAGGCAACGAUGCAUAGCCGACCUGAGAGGGUGAUCGGCCACACUGGAACUGAGACACGGUCCAGACUCCUACGGGAGGCAGCAGUAGGGAAUCUUCCGCAAUGGGCGAAAGCCUGACGGAGCAACGCCGCGUGAGUGAUGAAGGUCUUCGGAUCGUAAAACUCUGUUAUUAGGGAAGAACAUAUGUGUAAGUAACUGUGCACAUCUUGACGGUACCUAAUCAGAAAGCCACGGCUAACUACGUG